rnacentral:rRNA from 1 species
UAAAUCCCUUAUCGAGGAUCAAUUGGAGGGCAAGUCUGGUG